rnacentral:rRNA from 1 species
GAAUUCGAUUAACGCGAAGAACCUUACCUGGGCUCGAAGCGCAGUGGACCGGGGUGGAAACAUCCCUUCCCCUUAAAAGGCUGCUGCGGAGGUGCUGCAUGGCUGUCGUCAGCUCGUGUCGUGAGAUGUUGGGUUAAGUCCCGCAACGAGCGCAACCCUUAUCCCUAGUUGCCAUCGGGUCAAGCCGGGCACUCUAGUGAAACUGCCUCGGAUAACGAGGAGGAAGGUGGGGAUGACGUCAAGUCCUCAUGGCCUUUAUGUCCAGGGCCACACACGUGCUACAAUGGUCGGUACAAACCGCCGCAAACCCGUGAGGGGGAGCUAAUCGGAAAAAGCCGGCCUCAGUUCGGAUUGGAGUCUGCAACUCGACUCCAUGAAGCUGGAAUCGCUAGUAAUCGCGGAUCAGAACGCCGCGGUGAAUACGUUCCCGGGCCUUGUCACACCGAAUCACUA